CCUACGGGAGGCAGCAGUGGGGAAUCUUCCGCAAUGGACGAAAGUCUGACGCAGCAACGCCGCGUGAGGGAUGAAGGUUUUCGGCUCGUAAAGCUCUGUUGGUAGGGAAGAAAGAUAGAGGUAGUAACUAGCAUUUAUUUGACGGUAAUUGCUAAGAAAGUACCGGCUAACUACGUGCCAGCAGCCGCGGUAAUACGUAGGGGGCAAGCGUUGUCCGGAUUUAUUGGGCGUAAAGCGAGUGUAGGCGGUUCAAUAAGUCAGGUGUGAAAGCCUUCGGCUCAACCGGGGAAUUGCAUCAGAAACUGUUGAACUUGAGUGCAGAAGAGGAGAGUGGAACUCCAGGUGUAGCGGUGGAAUGCGUAGAUAUAUGGAAGAACACCAGUGGCGAAGGCGACUCUCUGGUCUGCAACUGACGCUGAGGCUCGAAAGCAUGGGUAGCGAACAGGAUUAGAUACCCUUGUAGUC
rnacentral:rRNA from 1 species